rnacentral:rRNA from 1 species
CCUACGGGUGGCAGCAGUGGGGAAUAUUGGGCAAUGGGCGCAAGCCUGACCCAGCAACGCCGCGUGAAGGAAGAAGGCUCUCGGGUUGUAAACUUCUUUUGACAUGGAAGAGUAGAAGACGGUACCUGUCGAAUAAGCCACGGCUAACUACGUGCCAGCAGCCGCGUUAAUACGUAGGUGGCAAGCGUUGUCCGGAUUUACUGGGUGUAAAGGGCGUGUAGCCGGGUUGACAAGUCAGAUGUGAAAUCCUGCGGCUUAACCGAAGAACUGCAGUUGAAACUGUUGAUCUUGAGUACUGUAGAGGCAGGCGGAAUUCGUGGUGUAGCGGUGAAAUGCGUAGAUAUUAGGAAGAACACCAGUGGCGAAGGCAGUCUGCUGGACAGCAACUGACGGUGAGGCGCGAAAGCGUGGGGAGCAAACAGGAUUAGAUACCCUUGUAGUA